rnacentral:rRNA from 1 species
GUAAAGCGUGCGUAGGUGGUCUUUUAAGUCGGAUGUGAAAUCCCUGAGCUUAACUUAGGAAUUGCAUUCGAUACUGGGAGACUAGAGUAUGGGAGAGGAUGGUAGAAUUCCAGGUGUAGCGGUGAAAUGCGUAGAGAUCUGGAGGAAUACCGAUGGCGAAGGCAGCCAUCUGGCCUAAUACUGACACUGAGGUACGAAAGCAUGGGGAGCAAACAGGAUUAGAUACCCUGGUAGUCCAUGCCGUAAACGAUGUCUACUAGCCGUUGGGGUCUUUGAGACUUUAGUGGCGCAGCUAACGCGAUAAGUAGACCGCCUGGGGAGUACGGUCGCAAGACUAAAACUCAAAUGAAUUGACGGGGGCCCGCACAAGCGGUGGAGCAUGUGGUUUAAUUCGAUGCAACGCGAAGAACCUUACCUGGUCUUGACAUAGUAAGAACUUUCCAGAGAUGGAUUGGUGCCUUCGGGAGCUUACAUACAGGUGCUGCAUGGCUGUCGUCAGCUCGUGUCGUGAGAUGUUGGGUUAAGUCCCGCAACGAGCGCAACCCUUUUCCUUAUUUGCCAGCGGGUUAAGCCGGGAACUUUAAGGAUACUGCCAGUGACAAACUGGAGGAAGGCGGGGACGACGUCAAGUCAUCAUGGCCCUUACGACCAGGGCUACACACGUGCUACAAUGGUCGGUACAAAGGGUUGCUACCUAGCGAUAGGAUGCUAAUCUCAAAAAGCCGAUCGUAGUCCGGAUUGGAGUCUGCAACUCGACUCCAUGAAGUCGGAAUCGC